AUACAAUCUAGUGCAAUUAUGUGACACAUUUUUCGGGACAGCUAGGAAUACUCAUUAUCUACAAUUUGUUUAUCACCUAACCGGCCUCCUGCAGUGCGUAUAUUCAAAUACUUUGCCAAACAGAGCUUAUAUUAUUGUUGGGACGCUUUAGCAGUUUGUUGACUCGCAUAUAAGUAUAUUUGGAUUUGACAUCUAUUUGCUCAUUUAUUCAAAUUGAACCGGACGCUUUGGGAAUCGAGCACAUUCGCAGCUGUCUGCUGCGAAGACGCGUUGGAUUUUGUAUAAAGGAUACAAGGUUUUGAUCACAGAAUGAGGAAUUCUGAAAGAUUACAACAUGAGGUGGAUUCAACGCUUGCAGGUUAGCCUAAAGCCUAAGACUAGUGUUGAAUAAUACCCAAAUUCAAUUCAGUUCCAUUG